CCUACGGGUGGCAGCAGUGGGGAAUAUUGCGCAAUGGGCGAAAGCCUGACGCAGCGACGCCGCGUGAGGGAUGAAGGUCUUCGGAUCGUAAACCUCUGUCAGCAGGGAAGAACGGUCACUGUGGUAAUCAGCAGUGAAUUGACGGUACCUGCAAAGGAAGCACCGGCUAACUCCGUGCCAGCAGCCGCGGUAAUACGGAGGGUGCGAGCGUUGAUCGGAGUUAUUGGGCGUAAAGCGCUCGUAGGCGGUAUGACAAGUCAAGUGUGAAAGCCCUGGGCUCAACCUGGGAACUGCCUUUGAAACUGGUGAACUGGAGUGGAGGAGAGGAGAGUGGAAUUCCAGGUGUAGCGGUGAAAUGCGUAGAUAUCUGGAAGAACAUCAGUGGCGAAGGCGGCUAUCUGGCACACAACUGACGCUGAGGCGCGAAAGCGUGGGUAGCAAACAGGAUUAGAUACCCGGGUAGUC
rnacentral:rRNA from 1 species